AACGAACGCUGGCGGCAUGCCUUACACAUGCAAGUCGAACGGUAACAGGUCUUCGGAUGCUGACGAGUGGCGAACGGGUGAGUAAUACAUCGGAACGUGCCUAGUAGUGGGGGAUAACUACUCGAAAGAGUGGCUAAUACCGCAUGAGAUCUACGGAUGAAAGCAGGGGAUCGCAAGACCUUGUGCUACUAGAGCGGCCGAUGGCAGAUUAGGUAGUUGGUGGGAUAAAAGCUUACCAAGCCGACGAUCUGUAGCUGGUCUGAGAGGACGAUCAGCCACACUGGGACUGCGACACGGCCCAGACUCCUACGGGAGGCAGCAGUGGGGAAUUUUGGACAAUGGGCGCAAGCCUGAUCCAGCAAUGCCGCGUGCAGGAUGAAGGCCUUCGGGUUGUAAACUGCUUUUGUACGGAACGAAAGGCCCUGGGUUAAUACCCUGGGGUCAUGACGGUACCGUAAGAAUAAGCACCGGCUAACUACGUGCCAGCAGCCGCUGUAAUAC
rnacentral:rRNA from 1 species